UAAAACCAGCACCUCAAGUGGUCAGGAGGAUUAUUGGGCCUAAAGCAUCCGUAGCCUGUUCUAUAAGUUUGCGGUUAAAUCUAUACGCUCAACGUAUAGGCUGCCGUAAAUACUGUAGAACUAGGGAGUGGGAGAGGUAGACGGUACUCGAUAGGAAGGGGUAAAAUCCUUUGAUCUAUUGAUGACCACCUGUGGCGAAGGCGGUCUACCAGAACACGUUCGACGGUGAGGGAUGAAAGCUGGGGGAGCAAACCGGAUUAGAUACCCGGGUAGUCCCAGCUGUAAACGAUGCAGACUCGAUGAUGCAAUGGCAUAGAGCUAUUGCAGUAUCGCAGGGAAGCCGUUAAGUUUGCCGCCUGGGAAGUACGUACGCAAGUAUG
rnacentral:rRNA from 3 species